rnacentral:rRNA from 1 species
AACGAACGCUGGCGGCAGGCUUAACACAUGCAAGUCGAACGCAUCCUUCGGGGUGAGUGGCAGACGGGUGAGUAACGCGUGGGAACGUGCCCUUCAGUUCGGGAUAACCCAGGGAAACUUGGGCUAAUACCGGAUACGUGCGAGAGCAGAAAGAUUUAUCGCUGAAGGAUCGGCCCGCGUCUGAUUAGCUAGUUGGUGGGGUAAUGGCCCACCAAGGCGACGAUCAGUAGCUGGUAUGAGAGGAUGAUCAGCCACAUUGGGACUGAGACACGGCCCAAAAUCCUACGGGAGGCAGCAGUGGGGAAUAUUGAACAAUGGGCGCAAGCCUGAUCCAGCCAUGCCGCGUGAGUGAUGAAGGCCUUAGGGUUGUAAAGCUCUUUCGUCCGGGACGAUAAUGACGGUACCGGAAGAAGAAGCCCCGGCUAACUUCGUGCCAGCAGCCGCCGUAA